CAUCUUUUGUACUUGAUCAUUAUAGAUGUUUAAAGCAAAGAAUGUAAAAGGUUUAUUUUGGUGAUUAUGUGAUAUAAAAAGAAAUGAUGCAAGAAUGUAAAAGAAUUUACAGAAGUUGAAUACAUGUAUGUGGUUAAAAGUUAAUAAUAUUACUUAUAUGAUGUUUUGUUUAGUACUUUCAUUUUGGCUAUUGCUUGCUCUCGUGCAAGCCAAUUAUGUAUGUUUCCGCUUGUGCAAAUUUCUUUACUUGAUUUGUACUUGUUGUUGAGCCUUGGGCGGACAGGGAAGGUGUUGUCCGUUCGGCGUCUGUUUGACGUGCCCGAACGACCAAAUAGGUCCGGUCGCGGGGCGUGACAGUACCGGUACCCACCAACCAGUACCGGUACCCAAGCCUGUUUCUUUUAAAACCUGAGAGCCCCUCUUUUCAAUAAUUUUACGGCGUACCGGUACUCAACCCCCGCGUACCGGUACCCAAUACAAAUUUCUCAAAUUUUGGUACCGGUAUUCGGCCUUGGUACUUCAAUUCCCGAGAGCAUAUUUUUCAGUCUUUGCAUUGCGUACCGGUACCCAAUCCCAGUACCGAUACCCAAUGUAAAAUCUACAACUUGGCAAAUUACAUCCUUUCGAGCCCGUUUUUGCGUCUAA
rnacentral:lncRNA from 1 species